rnacentral:rRNA from 1 species
AUCUGCCCUUCACUCUGGGACAAGCCCUGGAAACGGGGUCUAAUACCGGAUACUGACCUGCCAAGGCAUCUUGGCGGGUCGAAAGCUCCGGCGGUGAAGGAUGAGCCCGCGGCCUAUCAGCUUGUUGGUGAGGUAAUGGCUCACCAAGGCGACGACGGGUAGCCGGCCUGAGAGGGCGACCGGCCACACUGGGACUGAGACACGGCCCAGACUCCUACGGGAGGCAGCAGUGGGGAAUAUUGCACAAUGGGCGAAAGCCUGAUGCAGCGACGCCGCGUGAGGGAUGACGGCCUUCGGGUUGUAAACCUCUUUCAGCAGGGAAGAAGCGAAAGUGACGGUACCUGCAGAAGAAGCGCCGGCUAACUACGUGCCAGCAGCCGCGGUAAUACG